rnacentral:rRNA from 1 species
AACGCGAAGAACCUUACCUACUCUUGACAUCCUGCGAACCCGACUGAGAGGUUGGGGUGCCGAAAGGAGCGCAGAGACAGGUGCUGCAUGGCUGUCGUCAGCUCGUGUUGUGAGAUGUUGGGUUAAGUCCCGUAACGAGCGCAACCCUUGUCCUUAGUUACCAGCAAGUAAAGUUGGGGACUCUAAGGAGACUGCCGGUGAGGAACCGGAGGAAGGCGGGGACGACGUCAAGUCAUCAUGGCCUUUAUGAGUAGGGCUACACACGUGCUACAAUGGGGCGUACAGAGGGUAGCCAACCUGCGAAGGGGAGCCAAUCUCUUAAAGCGUCUCGUAGUCCGGAUUGAAGUCUGCAACUCGACUUCAUGAAGUCGGAAUCGCUAGUAAUCGCGAAUCAGCAAUGUCGCGGUGAAUACGUUCCCGGGCCUUGUACACACCGCGAGC